rnacentral:rRNA from 1 species
GACAGAGGUGCCGAGCGUUAGGCGGAAUCACUGGGCUUAAAGCGUGUGUAGGCGGACCGUUAAGUACCUUGUGAAAUCCCCCGGCUCAACCGGGGAACGGCUGGGUAUACUGGCGGUCUUGAGCCAUCCAGGGGCAGUCGGAACAGACGGUGGAGCGGUGAAAUGCGUAGAUAUCGUCUGGAACGCCGAAGGUGAAAACAGACUGCUGGGGAUGCGCUGACGCUGAGACACGAAAGCCAGGGGAGCGAACGGG